AUACGUAGGAUGCGAGCGUUAUCCGGAUUUAUUGGGUUUAAAGGGUGCGUAGGCUGUGCGUUAAGUCAGGGGUGAAAUGCCGUCGCUCAACGACGGAGCUGCCCUUGAUACUGGCGUGCUGGAGUACGGAUGCCGUUGGAGGAAUGAGUGGUGUAGCGGUGAAAUGCUUAGAUAUCACUCAGAACACCGAUUGCGAAGGCAUCUGACGAAUCCGUCACUGACGCUGAGGCACGAAAGCGUGGGGAUAGAACAGGAUUAGAUACCCUGGUAUUCCACGCCGUAAACGAUGAUGACUAACCGUCGGCGAUAGACAGCCGGUGGCCAAGCGAAAGCGAUAAGUCAUCCACCUGGGGAGUACGUCGGCAACGAUGAAACUUAAAGGAAUUGACGGGG
rnacentral:rRNA from 1 species